rnacentral:lncRNA from 1 species
AAAUUUCCUUUCUCACCUCACCUUCUAUUUCGCCAGCCCUCUCUCUUCUAUAUAUAUAAAUAUUCAACUUUUAUUAGUAUUUCACCUCAUAAUACUCCAAAGCCCUGUCCCGUUUUAAGUAUUGUAACCCUGGUCACUGAUGCCCUGUCCGACUGACGUAGGGCCCUGUAACGUAUGUUAAGGCUCUGCCUAAAUUCGUUGGGGUUCUGUCUCGUGACGUAGGGAUAAAGUAGAAUUGGGUUACCAUACUUAAUGUGAAUACACUAUAUAGUUUUUUAAAAUAACCCAGGUGUUAUACCCAAAACAUAGCAACCCUCCUAAAACACCCCUGACACCCCUACACUUCCUAAAAUACACCCCAUAUGUGAAAACCGAGCCCGAAAUAUAAUAUAACAAUAAAAAUAAAUGAAAAACAAGAAAUAGUAAGUUGAGGCGGGCCGCGUAGACCCACCCCAACCUUUACGCGGGCGGUAUGAAGAUUGAUACCGGAUUCCUUUGAUUUUCUUAAGUUCAAGCGGGCCGCGUAAGCUACCCGUUAAGUUAACGUGGGCCGCGAGGGACUAAAAAGGUAGCAUAGCCCGGUGCGGCCACGUGUCCCAACACCCGGCUAAGCUAGUUGUCGACUCAGCACAGCUACGCGUUGACCCAACUUUGACGCGGGCCGCGUAAGCUUUGUGCUUAUGUUAUGCGGGCCGCGAGAGACCCAGAUUCAGGCACUAUAUAAAGGAGGCAUCGGCUGUCUAUUUCAAUUCGUUCACAAUUCAUUCUCACUGUCAAAAUUCUGAAUUAGAGUUACUAUACUCGGGUAUUAUACCCCUAAUUAGCGAAGCUCUGCCUCGUUGUAAGUAUCAUAACCCCUGGAUACGUAUUAGAUACUCUGCCCGAUUGAUCUAGGGUUCCGUAACGGCUGUCGUGGUUCUGCCCGACGUAGUCGUUGGAAUGCCGUCUCGGGGAGGAUUAUAACCAGGAAGCCACAAAGGAAAUACCUAAAAUAGCAAUGUGAGUAAUCUCCUUUUUGUAAACAGUUUUUACAAAACCUUAAAUAUUUUACAAUGCAAUUUAGCAGUGAUUGAGUCUUUGUAAUUCUUCAAUUACUGCCGGUAUUAUGGGGUUUUGUAUACAUUACUUGAUAAUCUUCACAAUUGGACGAAGAGUUAGCCAAUGUGUGAUAUGACCAUAGCCACAGAUACGGUCGAGUGGCAAGUACUGAAUGAGUAAUUGUGUAGAUAUAAACAUUGUAAUCGCCCUCAAUACUGUUUAAAUUGAACUAAUAUUUCUUGAUUAAACUGGGAUUCACUCACGAGUAUUUCUUGCUGGUAAAAUGUUUUUAAAAACGCGUUUCAGGUAACACAAUGUGAAAGCCAAUUAGAAUAAAGCCAGCUCGAGAGCACUGACGGCUUGGAAAAAUGUGGCUAUAAAAGUUACCUAAAAGACGAUGUUUUAAAUUCAAUAAAAUAAGGGUUAUCCCUAUAAACAUGUUGUAAUAAGAAUCUUGGGUUUUACCCGUGUGAUUAUAAAAAUAAAAUAUGGUGGUUU